GUCUCCGGCCACGCCACCCUGAACGAGCCUGAUCCCAUCCGAUCUCGGAAGCUAAGCAGGGUCCGGCCUGGUUACUACUUGGAUGGGAGACCACUUAGGAAGACCAGGUGCUGUAGGCG
rnacentral:rRNA from 1 species